rnacentral:lncRNA from 10 species
CGGGGAGACUGAGGCAUGGCGGGAUGCAGGUCCCAAGCCCUUCCCCGCGGGGAGGCAGCUAAGGCCCGGCAAGAAAUCGAGCACAGCAGCUGCUAGCGCAGGUGCUAAGCCCCUCACUGCCCGGGGCUUGCGGGCCGGCCUGCUGCUCCGAGUGCUGGGCCAGCCGAGCCCACGCCCCCCCGGAACUGGCGCUGGCCCGCAAGCGCCGCGCGCAGCCCCAGUUUCCGCCCGCGCCUCUCCCUCCACGCCUCCUCGCAAGCUGAGGGAGUCGGCUCCGGCCUUGGCCAGCCCAGAAAGGGGCUCCCACAGUGCAACGGUGGGCUGAAGGGCCAGAGUGGGCGCCAAGGGCGAGGAGGCGCCGAGAGCGAGUGGGGGCUGCCAGCACGGUGUCACCUCUCACCAGUAGUUGUGAUUUUUGCUGUCACCCCCAUGGAUUAUGAAUUCACUUUGUCUGGGUAACAGUGGAAACCCUCGGAAGUUGUUUCCACUGUUUCAUCUAAAAGAAGUCGCCAAAACGAAGUUUUCUCAGUGCCAAAGCAUGGACUCAGUGACUGGCAAUGUUUGGGAUUGCAGAGGCUCCAGUAGCCUGGGAAGAGAGCAGUUUAAGAAUUUUACCUAAAGUCACCGUGCAAGGGGGAUGAGCUCCAGGGACUGUCAUUUUUCACAGGCCACUGAAGAAAUACCCUGGCUCCGGCGAAUGUUAUAAGAAGAUAAGAGGUCUUCAUGUCUACCAGCCAGCUAUUCCUAAUCCAAUUGGUGUAUCUUCCUUCUGUUUCAACGAUUCUUAUAUCUAG